AAGUCGUAACAAGGUAACCGUAGGUGAACCUGCGGUUGGAUCAUUACAAAGAUUCCCGAAUGACGAGAGCCGGGUACAUCAAACAGUAGGUUGCAAACGAAAGCUGCAAACGCAAGCAAUCUUGGUUGCAUUGCGAAUGCGGGCCAUUGUUUGAUGUGCUAGCCUCGAGGUUCAAAAAACCACCUUUUGUGAAUUGUCCCGUCUCUGGCGAGAGGGCAGCGAAAGCUGCUUGUCAGCAUUGUUACAAUGCCGUGGACAGCUCGCCAAACACUUCUAUACUUUUUCUUUACCUUUAUGUCUGACAUUAAUUGUACAAAAAUACAAAACAACUUUUGGCAACGGAUCUCUUGGCUCUC
rnacentral:misc_RNA from 1 species